GAUGAACGCUGGCGGCGUGCCUAAUACAUGCAAGUCGAGCGAACAGAUGAGGAGCUUGCUCCUCUGACGUUAGCGGCGGACGGGUGAGUAACACGUGGAUAACCUACCUAUAAGACUGGGAUAACUUCGGGAAACCGGAGCUAAUACCGGAUAAUAUAUUGAACCGCAUGGUUCAAUAGUGAAAGACGGUUUUGCUGUCACUUAUAGAUGGAUCCGCGCCGCAUUAGCUGGUUGGGAAGGUAACGGCUUACGAAGGCAACGAUGCGUAGCCGACCUGGGGGGUGGUCCGCCCCCAUGGAAGCUGACACACGUCCCAGCCUCCUAGGGAAGGCCGAGUCGGGAAUCCUUCCCAAUUGGGGGAAACCUUGCCGAACCACCGCCCGGGGGUUGAUGAAGUUCUCCGGUCGGUAAAACCUUUUAUUAGGGAAGAACAAAUGUGUAAGUAACUAUGCACGUCUUGACGGUACCUAAUCAGAAAGCCACGGCUAACUACGUG
rnacentral:rRNA from 1 species